ACGAACGCUGGCGGCAUGCCUAACACAUGCACGUCGAACGCGACCUUCGGGUCUAGUGGCGCACGGGUGCGUCACGCGUGGGAACCUGCCCUUAGGUUCGGAAUAACUCCCCGAAAGGGGUGCUAAUACCGGAUAAUGUCUUCGGACCAAAGAUUUAUCGCCUUUGGAUGGGCCCGCGUUGGAUUAGCUAGUUGGUAGGGUAAAAGCCUACCAAGGCGACGAUCCAUAGCUGGUCUGAGAGGAUGAUCAGCCACACUGGGACUGAGACACGGCCCAGACUCCUACGGGAGGCAGCAGUGGGGAAUAUUGGACAAUGGGCGAAAGCCUGAUCCAGCAAUGCCGCGUGAGUGAUGAAGGCCUUAGGGUUGUAAAGCUCUUUUACCCGGGAUGAUAAUGACAGUACCGGGAGAAUAAGCUCCGGCUAACUCCGUG
rnacentral:rRNA from 1 species